GAUGAACGCUGGCGGCGUGCCUAAAACAUGCAAGUCGAGCGAGGUACAAAGAGCUUGCUCUUUGUACUUAAGCGGCGAACGGGUGAGGAACACGUGAGCAACCUGCCUUACGCACAGGGAUAACGCUGAGAAAUCAGCGCUAAUACCUGAUAAGCUCACAGUGCUGCAUAGCACAGUGAGAAAAGAUUUAUCGGCAUAAGAGGGGCUCGCGGCUGAUUAGCUAGUUGGAGGGGUAACGGCCUACCAAGGCGACGAUCAGUAGCCGGACUGAGAGGUUGAACGGCCACAUUGGAACUGAGACACGGUCCAAACUCCUACGGGAGGCAGCAGUUGGGAAUAUUGCACAAUGGGCGCAAGCCUGAUGCAGCAACGCCGCGUGAAGGAAGACGGUCUUCGGAUUGUAAACUUCUAUCGAUGGGGAAGAAAGAAAUGACGGUACCCAAGUAAGAAGCCCCGGCUAACUACGUGCCAGCAGCCGCGGUAAUACGUAGGGGGCAAGCGUUAUCCGGAAUUACUGGGUGUAAAGGGUGAGUAGGCGGUUAGGUAAGUCAUAUGUGGAAGCCCGGGGCUUAACCCAGGGAUUGCAUAAGAAACUGGCUAACUAGAGUACAGGAGAGGUAAGCGGAAUUCCUAGUGUAGCGGUGAAAUGCGUAGAUAUUAGGAAGAACACCAGUGGCGAAGGCGGCUUACUGGACUGAAACUGACGCUGAGUCACGAAAGCGUGGGGAGCAAACAGGAUUAGAUACCCUGGUAGUCCACGCUGUAAACGAUGAGUGCUAGGUGUCGGGGCGAGAGCUUCGGUGCCGGAGCUAACGCAAUAAGCACUCCACCUGGGGAGUACGGUCGCAAGACUGAAACUCAAAGGAAUUGACGGGGGCCCGCACAAGCGGUGGAGCAUGUGGUUUAAUUCGAUGCAACGCGAAGAACCUUACCAAGGCUUGACAUCCCUCUGACGUAGAUAGAGAUAUUUAUUUCCUUCGGGACAGAGGAGACAGGUGGUGCAUGGUUGUCGUCAGCUCGUGUCGUGAGAUGUUGGGUUAAGUCCCGCAACGAGCGCAACCCUUAUCUUUAGUAGCCAGCGGGUUAAGCCGGGCACUCUAGAGAGACUGCCGUGGAUAACACGGAGGAAGGUGGGGAUGAGGUCAAAUCAUCAUGCCCUUUAUGUCUUGGGCAACACACGUGCUACAAUGGCUGAUACAAAGUGACGCAAGACGGCGACGUUAAGCAAAACACAAAAAAUCAGUCCCAGUUCGGAUUGUAGUCUGCAACUCGACUAUAUGAAGCUGGAAUCGCUAGUAAUCGCGGAUCAGCAUGUCGCGGUGAAUACGUUCCCGGGCCUU
rnacentral:rRNA from 2 species